rnacentral:lncRNA from 1 species
UCUGGGAGUCCACCUGCCUAAUAGCAUCCUGAAACAUUUAUUGUGUUUGGGUUUACUAUGCAGAUCAGUUUCUGAGCACCUGCUGGAAGUGUUGUUGUUCUGGACCCCAUGUCCUGGUGUAGCCCCGUUCAGCCUCACACUGACCCUUCAGAGCUUGCAUAGACUCAGGAGUCAAACAGAAAGCUGGGUGCAAAGUGGCCUAGGGCUGGAUAAAAACUAUUAUGGAGUCAUGGGUGUUCCAUCUGCAGAUGCAUUCCAAAUAUGCAAGGCAAGCAACCUCCAGGGAAGUUCAACAGCUGUACAACAAACCAGACAUUUUUGUGGGUCACAAGGUUAUGAGUUGAGCGCUGAAUGCCGUGUGUUGACAGCGUAGAGAUCCCAUGGCUGCCUCUUGGCCAAAACAGCAAAUGUCAGCCUGGAAAUUUCUGCUUCUUAUUUAAAAAAACCUGACAGAUCUCUAAUUCCAAAUCUCUUUUUAAUGAUGUUGGCUCUACAAUGUUUUUUCAAAUCAUGUAUGACAAGUAGCACUGCACUGAACUGAUUGUUCAUUAUAUUUUUACAGACACUAAAUUUAUCCUAGCUCUUGAAUAGGAAAGAUACAAGGCAUUAACUGACAGCCUAUAACUUCUCUAUCUGAUGCCAUCACAUAAUAGCUUCAGAAUGGAAUCCUGGGAACAAAACCCCUCCUGACACUGCUGCACUCUCUGAUUGAGAGCUCGAACUUUUGCAGAUGGAAACAUCUAACAGUCUUAGUAAGAAAAUUUUCUGCAAGCAAAAUUGCUGAAAUGUCUCUUCCUCAGGGUUAAAUUUUAUGUUACCAAUGUUACAGAGCCACCUAGCACACAAUGUAGUUUCUGUGUCCACACAAUGGUACCUUGGCCAGCUGGGCAGUGCCAGCUCUGUUGCAGGAGAGGCAGUCACUGCAGUAAAACAGGUCUCAAGCAGCCCUCCCUCUCCUAGGUCACUGAAAACUGGAUCCACUGACUGAAAAAAGGGGAAAAACCUUACAGUCAAAACCCAGUGCCUGCAGCUUGCUGAUUCCUGAGUUGUUCAUUUGCACUGUGCCACAGCCCAAGGCCAGGCAAAGAGCAAAUGGCUCACCCCCAGGGCAGCCCCUGUAAAUAGGGGUGGGAGACUGAGGUAGGCAAUCACCAGGAUUGUGCAAGGCAGAGAUAAGAGAGGAACCCCUUACCUAAACAAAGCAUAAAAUAACUGCUUUUAGUAGAAAUGCAGAGGAUAUACCUUUUUCUUUUGGCAGCCUUGUCCUCAUGCUAA